AUGGAAAUUUCACAUUUUCUAUUUUCAUAGUUCUUUGUAGUUUAGACUAGACAACAUAAUUACCUACACGUUUAUCCAAAAUUAAUUUUUCUCCUAUGAAUUUAGUCUUAAUUGAUUGGUUUAUAUUGUAGAACAGGGAUAUUGUUAUUAGAUUUUGCAAAAUUUGGAUUUGAGUUUGUUUGACAUGUGAUUUGAAUGGUACAGUGGUCUAAUCUUGGAAAUGAUCUGUGAUAAUCAUAUUGAUUAAACGGUGCCAUCUAUCGGGUCUUGUUAAAGCUUAAAUUUGCAAGUUUCCAAUUUUUUGGUGAUUUGCUCUUUCUUAUUUUGUUUGGAUUAUUUUGAAGGAUUACGUAAUUUGCAUUGUUCAGUAUGCAAUAUUUUAGAAUGAUAUUUUUGUUAUUUAAACUGCCCAUUUGUUCAUUAGUUCUGCCAAAAAUAAGUUCUUAUUGGAGAUGUGAUAAACAAAUAAUUUUUGAGCAAUACUAAUUAAAUUGUCCAUAUCUUUGUUAGCUAACAAAAUGCUGUUAACCUACUCUAUAAAAGUCAUCUAAUAAUUGCUGGCUUAAGAGUUUCCACAUGCGUCGAAUGAGAACUCUUUUAUAUAGCUAUGGUGCAGCUAAUUUGGUUUUUGGAUUCAAUUUCCAUGAAAAUUAGAGUUCAAAUUUUUCUUUCAUUCAAACCAGUUACCAUAUCUGGGUGAUGGAUGAGAUAAGCAAGUGCAAUUGCUAAGCAUCUUGAUGCAAAUUGAAUAAAAUAUACUAUACCUAUUUGUUGUUGGAUAAUUUAUAAUCCAUAAAAAAUUUCACAUUGUCAUUAGUAUGAAUCAUAUUCUGACUAAUUUCUAGUGAUUUAUUUCCAGUAGAGUAUUUGAUAUAUCACUCCAUAUUAUAUGAAUUAGUUCUUGCCCUCUUUUGCUUAUCUAUACUACUAUGGACUUAAUUGUAGUCACAAUAUGGGGACUUGAUAUCUUGGAUCAUAUUAAAACUUCUAGUGUUGAAGACGUUGAAGCUUUUGUAGUUGGAUUUAGAAUUAUUAUAUGGAUCUAUAUUGGUUUUGAAAGCCAUAGCCCAUUGCUUUCAGCCAGGAAGUCUCAGGUUUCAACCAUUGGUUGUGGAGUGCUAAACUGCCAAUGCAACAAAAAAAAAUAAAGAAAAAUAAAGAGAAAGAGAUCAGCAUUUUAGGAAUUAUAUUUAUUUUAAUUUUUCUUGCUACUUCUUGCUGCUGAGAGUUAUAGGAUUUGUAAUUAUAUGGUCAAUUGUUACUACAAUUGUUACUGUAAGUGAUGG
rnacentral:misc_RNA from 1 species